UUUUGUAGGACAUAGGUCAUCAGUUAUUGUUAUAUACAGUAAAGUUAUAAAAGAUGAAUAUGAAUUCCUGGGUAUUGUUUAGAAGUUAAAUAUUCAGCCAUAAACCAAAAUUCUAAAAACAAAUACUAAGUUUCAAUUAAGUUUUCUUUGCUGUGCACUGAACAUUCUAGAAAUCUGAUUGUGUCUGUGUCAGUUUGUAUACUGUGUGUAAGAAUAUAUGCAUUUCUUUUGUAGCCACGUCAUGAAUAUUUUAAUGUCCCUGUGUACUAAAUGACCACUCAUCGUGUAUGCAGAAUUUCACAGAGGAAAUAGAGAGCUGAUAUGCUUAUGAAAGAAAAUAUCCUCAGCUUGGUGACUGAUUACCUUGUGUAAUAAUAGAACAUUUUAGAACUGUAACCUUUGUAAUAAUUUUCCUGUUCUCAUCCUCUUUUCUGUUUUAUUUUCAUUUUGUGUGUGAUCUUGAUACAGCUUUUCCUGCUUGCAACUGGUUUAAUUUCUUCUUGAAAAAUAUGAUCUAUGAUCAUUUUGAGUAAUGUUUCAUUUCAGACACCUACAUGUCAUCAUUUGUGAACCAUCUGUGAUUAAUCUUGUAAGAGAAUACCUAGCAAUCAUUAAAUGUUUACCAAAGAAAAUAGAGCUGAAAGGCUUGGUCAAAAUUAGCAGUGCCACAGUAUAGCAUGAUUUGAUCUUCAAAUGUUGGCAGGAUGAGACUAUAUUUAGGGUAAUUAUAGUAUACAUGAGGAAACAUUUUUAAUGUAUCACAUAAAAGUGUAUUUGGCAAUAAUACAAGAAAGUAAAAUCUGUACUAUUAUAUAAUAUUUAAGCUAAAACAUUCACGAUUUCUAAAAAAUUUAUAAUGCC
rnacentral:lncRNA from 1 species